UGACAGACGAGUGGCAGGCAGAGGAAAAUGUAGUGUGUGUGUGUGAGCAUGUGUGUAUGGCAGAAAUAAAAGAAACUGAAAAUAACAUGCUACCAUACAAAAUGUUUAUAAAAUCUUUUCACCCAGGACAACUUUAAAUAAAAACAAAAACAACUUCUUCAAUAUUAUGAAUUUGUUUUAAUUUAAAAAAUAAUAUAUGGAUGCAAAAAAAAAAAUAUGUAUUGUCCAUCUCAAAAACAAAAACAAUUAAAAGAAAAGAUCUAAUUCUGACCAUAAUACAAUAAAC